ACGCCCCCGUCCCCGACGGUUCCUCCGCCCUGCGCGUCCCUGCCUCCUCCGCCCCGCGCACUCCCCCGCAACCUCCUCCUCCGCAGUUCGCCGCGCGCCCACCCCCGUGCUUCGCAACCUCCUCCUCCUCUCGCAUCGCCCCUCUCUGCCGUCGCCUCCACUCUCCCGCCCCAUCGCGCGCUGCCGUCGCCCUCCGCCCGCGCUCGCCGUCGCCAGUUCCGGCCGAUUCACCGGUUCCGUGCCCCCCCGCGAAGGCCCGAGACCCGCCACUUGCCCUCGCCCCGUCGGGAGAGGUCGCAACAGCGCAGUUCGAGGAGGUCCGCCGCCACUGCACCGCUCCCCCUCCCUCGCAAAUGCGCCGACGGUUCCCUGCGACCUCCUCCGAUCCUCCGCCUCCGGGCCCCUGACUUCCCGCGCCGCGGCGCCACUCCUACGCACGCCCGCUCGCGCUGCCGCGGCUCCUUCCGCCGCCUCGACUGCCAUGCGGCCAUGCCCGCUCACCCUUGGCGGUCUUGGGGGCACCACCUAGCUGUUCCCCGUGCCGCGUCGCCUCUGUUUCUGCUCGGGCGCUGCCCGCCUAGCUGCAGUGGGAGGAAAGCGAUGAGGAACGAGGAGGAGGAGACGGGCCAGUACUUCACCGCCUCCGAGAUGGGUAAGGGCACCGCUGCCGAUGGGUACACGAAGGGGAAGGGUCAGGCCAUGGAGGCAGGCCCGUUCGCUGCUGCGUGCUGAGGCCCUGAUAUUCAAUCCCAUCGACACCUUGCUGGAGCCUGUAGGACACCUGCAGGCCGAGGCAAGGUAGUCACCCUCUCUGGUUUGCUCGCCUCGCAUUGCCGCGGCUAUAGUAUCUUUCACAUUCAGGCCUGCACCAUGACUGAUUUGCUUCCUUGUUUCUUCUAAUUUUGUUGUUUCUAUUAAGAUGCAAACCACCAAAUUAGCUUGCUAGAUUUCAAUUAAACGAUUAUUUGUUUGUGUUUGCCCGGUUGGAUUAUCAGUUUGAAAUUAUUUUUUUGGGCACUGAAGUGAACUUGCAAGUCAUAGGAAAAUUUUGCUCGUUUCUUUUCAUGUACAUCUGCGCAGGCUGGGCCAUGGCUGCUGGGAGUAGUGAUCUGCACCAGUGCUCCCAACCAUACCAGAUACUUGGGGUGUCGUUCUUCCUUAGAUCUGAGAUCGAAGAGGUGAGUGUGAUUGGUCAGUUAUUCGUUGACUGGUGACCAGUGAAUAUAUAGUUCUGCAGAUUAAUAAUUAUGUUUUGUCGGUCUAAAGUAGCUCUGACUUCGCUAGAUGAGAGGAAAAGAUGGUAUGUCGUGUGGUGCGGCUUAUAUUGGCCUGGUAGUGGUCGACUUGGAAUUCUAAUAUUCGCCAAUGGGUGGCUGUGAUUGUAUAAUUUGUAACUUGCAAUGGGUUCAAUUUCUGUAGUAAUAAGCUUGCAGCCACAGCAAUUGCAGCAGGCACCAGAAUACAGGAGGCAAGAACAGGUUUGAUUUUACAUAGCUGCAGAUAUGUUUAAGCUCUUAGGUCCUUUCAUCUCUAUAUAACUGUUAACCAAUAUUUACGCAUACUGAUGCUUUCUUGAGUUAUUUUUACGCUGAAAAAUCAAACGACUGUUACGAAAUAUGAUGUUUUAAAUAUGCCACCAGCUGAGUUUUUCCUCUUUUGUCAUCUUUGACUGAUCAUUAUGCGUAAAUGUAGAAUAUUGUUAUAAAGUUUUCUUUAAGUGGAUCAUUACUCUGAAGUUCCAUCAAUCUAUUAGAGCAUAACAGUUUGAGUUUUCUUGUUAGUGGAAGAUAUGUGCAAACCAGGUGUAACUACAAGACUACACUCUAUUUGUUUCUUGUAAGAAUGCCUGCAUAAAUGAAUUGAUAAUUGCAUAUUCCAAGCUUCUGAACUCUGAAUUCUCGUUGUCGCACAAUAUGAUUCUUGUAUAGCAGUAACUAUUGGCAAUUCUUUGUCCUAUUUUCGGUUCGGUUCGAUUUGGUACCACAUUGUUCUCUGGGAUCUCUACGCUCAUUACCACAUUUUGGCUUUCACUAAGCAGAUCAAUUUCGGGUUUCACUUAGCAGACCAGUUUUGGCUUUCAUGUUUUGAAUUUAACUAUUGUUAUUUGAUGUCGACCUACCUGGUGUUCAAGGUAUCAACACUUUUUGAGUCCUAUUAAAUGAGCCCUGCCUAUUCUUUUAUAUGGGUCCUUGCUUCAACAAUUGCUCCAGCACCCCAGUUGUGAUUUGUGAAAUAUUGAGUUGACAGCAGGAAGGCUUAUUAAGCUCUAUGUGAUAAGCCAUGUUGAGAAUGUUGAGAUGAUGUUCUCCAUCCUCCUGCCAGAUUGGAAGUCUGCGAAUGUCAUGGGAAAUAAUGCUGCAAGGCAAAUGGCAGCUUGAUGGUGACCUGGUAAGCAUUUUAUGAGCUCGCUGGUUUAAAUGGAUAGAUGAAGGAGAAAAGUGAUGUAAGUAGAUAUUAUAUUACUUAUCUGAUCUAAAAAUAAUAAAUGGGAUUUGGGCGAUUACUGUUCUGACAUAUUUUAUUAGGCUUGGGACGUGCCAUGAUUUGACUUUGUUUAUCCUGUCCAUAGCUUGACAGUGCUGAGAACGUCAUAGCUGUUGUCCAAUGGUAGUAUGUGUCAAAGUUGGAACGGAUGUACGGUUCCAAUUAAAACUUUCCAUCUGUACCCUGCUAUUAUCAAAUCUCUGCUCUUUCAUCUACUUCUAAUUUCUUGAGCCGUUCUUUUUUACAGCAAAUACAUUUCUCUUACAAUGGCUUUGGAUCAGGGAGGCUGAGGUGGUGGCAAUUAUUCCUUUUCCCCUGAUAAGUACUAGCAAGUAGCCCUGUUUUCUUUUGCCUAUUCUCAUGCCUGAAAAUAACAAACUUACUUUCAGAAAAGUAAUCAGUGGACAAAUUGAUUUGUGAUGGCUUUCUGAUACUGUUUACUGUUUUAUGGCAACUAGACACUUGAAUGAGAAGUAAUAAAUCAAGUCUAGAGUCUCCUGAACUACCGUAUCUUUUUUUCCGAAAGCAACUACCAUAUCUUUUGGUGCCAUGAAAGAGCUACACGCAUUUAGGUGCCCAAGGAUUGGUGCAGAAGAUUGGAGCUACAAGCAUGCUACUACUGAGGAUCAUGCCUCUUGUGUCACAAAAGAAAGCAGCUUAUUACCUGCACUAGAUUUCCUAGGGGAUGGAGCCGUGUUUCUCAGACCUGAACUCCGAAGCUCAUUUUCUUGCAACGCUACAUUCAGUCCAGUUUUAAGUUUACUGAAAACCAAAUCGAAAGGACAGACUGCAUAAUGUGUUAUUGGCAUAUUCGUAAAAAAUGUGGUUUGAAGAUGUACACUAAACUAAUAAGCACGUUUUCAUCAGAAAAAAAAAAGAGAAUCAUUGUCUCAAGAAUGCUGAGAAGAUAA